UUGCAAUAGCGUAUAUACUCUUCAUGGUCAUCGUGAUCGUGUUCGAGUUUAUAAUGUUGAGAAAAUUGUCAAAUUUGACACUUCCACUUUUUGAUAACCAAUCUAGUCCUUCCCUAACAUCACAUAAAGGGAUACAUGAGGAAUUGGACAAACAAUACGGUUGUUUAGAUGUUAUUGGCCCAUAGGGAAGCCCCAAGAUCGCCCAGAACAACAAAUGCGAAACUCCUUGUUCAGAGAAGGCAUCGCUUGAAGACCCAAUUCUUUGAUGAGCACCAAAAAUUCUCUUGACGAUUGACUCUCCAAGAUGAUGAUGGGUGCCACUUUUCCAGCUUCAGAUCCGCAGCCAACCAUAACCAGUCUAAUAGAGCAGGCCAUUGCUGAAGAAUAUAUUUGCCUUCUUAAUGUCUCCAUGCAUGAUAUUGUGACCAUGAAUGUGUUUUAGGCCUUUUGCGGUUUCCAUGAAAAUGUGUGCACAUUCUUCCAGCGAACAAAAGACCAAGUCAAAAUUAGUUUCUGUAGACCAAGUAAAAAUUUGUUUUGUCUGUAGACUAAAGUAGUAAGUUAUCUUGGGUGCAAAAAGGUUUUAGGAAUUAGUUGCUUGAAAUGAUAUCAUUCUCUCCCUCCCUUCAUCUUAGAGUGGUAGGGAGGAUAGUAUGUAGUUUUAUUUUGAAAUUUUUAUGGAGUACUCUUUUUGCCUCUCACUCGGAAUUACCGAGCGAUGUUUU